rnacentral:rRNA from 1 species
AGAGUUUGAUCCUGGCUCAGGAUGAACGCUAGCUACAGGCUUAACACAUGCAAGUCGAGGGGAAACGACAUCGAAAGCUUGCUUUUGAUGGGCGUCGACCGGCGCACGGGUGAGUAACGCGUAUCCAACCUGCCCACCACUUGGGGAUAACCUUGCGAAAGUAAGACUAAUACCCAAUGAUAUCUCUAGAAGACAUCUGAAGGAGAUUAAAGAUUUAUCGGUGAUGGAUGGGGAUGCGUCUGAUUAGCUUGUUGGCGGGGUAACGGCCCACCAAGGCGACGAUCAGUAGGGGUUCUGAGAGGAAGGUCCCCCACAUUGGAACUGAGACACGGUCCAAACUCCUACGGGAGGCAGCAGUGAGGAAUAUUGGUCAAUGGACGAGAGUCUGAACCAGCCAAGUAGCGUGCAGGAUGACGGCCCUAUGGGUUGUAAACUGCUUUUAUAAGGGAAUAAAGUGAGUCUCGUGAGACUUUUUGCAUGUACCUUAUGAAUAAGGACCGGCUAAUUCCGUGCCAGCAGCCGCGGUAAUACGGAAGGUCCGGGCGUUAUCCGGAUUUAUUGGGUUUAAAGGGAGCGUAGGCCGGAGAUUAAGCGUGUUGUGAAAUGUAGACGCUCAACGUCUGCACUGCAGCGCGAACUGGUUUCCUUGAGUACGCACAAAGUGGGCGGAAUUCGUGGUGUAGCGGUGAAAUGCUUAGAUAUCACGAAGAACUCCGAUUGCGAAGGCAGCUCACUGGAGCGCAACUGACGCUGAAGCUCGAAAGUGCGGGUAUCGAACAGGAUUAGAUACCCUGGUAGUCCGCACGGUAAACGAUGGAUGCCCGCUGUUGGUCUGAAUAGGUCAGCGGCCAAGCGAAAGCAUUAAGCAUCCCACCUGGGGAGUACGCCGGCAACGGUGAAACUCAAAGGAAUUGACGGGGGCCCG